GUGCCCGUAGCUCAGCUGGAUAGAGCAACGGAUUUCUAAUCCGUAGGUCGCAGGUUCGAAUCCUGCCGGGCAUACCA
rnacentral:tRNA from 1 species